AUGUUACUCCCUCCGUACGGAAUUAUUCAUCGGAGAAAUAGAUGUAUCUAGACGUAUUUUAAUUUUAGAUGCAUCAUUUUUCAUCCAUUUAUGCGACAAGUAAUUUCGCACGGACGGAAUAUUAU
rfam:Hordeum vulgare subsp. vulgare, WGS project CAJW01000000 data, contig: morex_contig_9030